GUCAAGCAUGGAAAAGGCCUAUAGCCAUGUCAGCAUACAUGUGCUAAAUGUGUGGCUUUCUAGAAUCUCUUAUUUCUACACGUGAAUCUAAACAAGAAAUGAAAUCUGCACAUGUGGAGGGAGAUCUCUUGAUGCAGCCCCUAUGUGAUGUUCACACCCCUCCUUAUGUGGCAAUGACCAUUUUACCCCUCUCCAUGUUCUUGGGUUGUUCUUUAUUUGGUGGGCUUGGGCCCCCUGUAUCAUCCCCUUCCCCUUGGAAAGGAUUUGUCCUCAAAUCUGAUGGUUCGCCUGAGGACUUAUUUUUGUAAACUCCAUAGAAGUUCCUCCUGGAUCAUAUAUUAAUCUGCAAUAAGCAUCAAACAUAUCUCUAAUUAGUUUUAUUUGACCCAAUAAGAAAUAUAAGAGAAUAUGUCUAGAAGAUAUCUCUAACUCAAGUUUUUGAUUGCCAUGUGAUAAAGAUUGCAACUUUGGAAAAGAUGUCAUGGCAAUUUCUUGGGAAGAAAAGAUAAAAUUAGAACAUUUAAUAACAAAUGGAGAAAAGUCAAAGGAUAGAAAACCUCCCCUUAAAAAUUUGUGUUCUAUUGGAAGAAUAGGGGAUGUUGCCAUUUCUUUCUUCUUUUCUUCCAUGUCUUUCUUUUCAAGUUCUUCCUUCUCUUCCUCUUCCUUUCUUUCUAUCUUUCUUAUUUUCUUUUCUUCUCUUCUCUCUUGUGCUUGUUUCUUUCUUUCUUCCUCUUCUUUUUUCUCUCUUUCUUCCUNNN
rnacentral:lncRNA from 1 species